UAGGGAGUCUUCGGCAAUGGACGAAAGUCUGACCGAGCAACGCCGCGUGAGUGAAGAAGGUUUUCGGAUCGUAAAACUCUGUUGGUAGAGAAGAACGUUGGUGAGAGUGGAAAGCUCAUCAAGUGACGGUAACUACCCAGAAAGGGACGGCUAACUACGUGCCGG
rnacentral:rRNA from 1 species